rnacentral:tRNA from 1 species
UGGGUAGUCUAGUGGUUAUGACGUGACGGUAAGUUUCUUUUCGUUUUUUGCCGGUUUAUUUUAAAAAACUUGAAAGUGCCGUAGAAUAGAGUUACUUCGUUUGGGACGAUGGGGUUGCGGGUUCGAGUCCCGUCGCGCUGACCA